CCUACGGGAGGCAGCAGUGAGGAAUAUUGGUCAAUGGGCGCGAGCCUGAACCAGCCAAGCAGCGUGAAGGAAGACUGCCCUACGGGUUGUAAACUUCUUUUAUAAAAGAAUAAAGUCCGGCACGAGUGCCUGAUUGCGUGUACUUUAUGAAUAAGCAUCGGCUAACUCCGUGCCAGCAGCCGCGGUAAUACGGAGGAUCCGAGCGUUAUCCGGAUUUAUUGGGUUUAAAGGGAGCGUAGAUGGGUUGUUAAGUCAGCUGUGAAAGUUUGGGGCUCAACCGUAAAAGUGCAUUUGAGACUGGCAGUCUUGAGUACAGUGGAGGUAGGCGGAAUGCGUGGUGUAGCGGUGAAAUGCUUAGAUAUCGCGAAGAACUCCGAUUGCGAAGGCAGCUUACUAGCGUGCCACUGACAUUGAUGCUCGAAAGUGUGGGUAUCGAACAGGAUUAGAUACCCGGGUAGUC
rnacentral:rRNA from 1 species